UUCCCUGCACCUGGGGUGGGUGGCUGGGGGGAUGGCCCCUUUUGAGAUCUUCACUAGAUCCCUUCUCUAUGGGUCUGAAUAUCUGCAUGCAAACUUGGCCUGCAUUCAUGGAGAAAAAGCCUGGAAUCGAUGCCCUGAGAACAUUUCCAACCAUGAAAGGGGGAGACGGGGAACCGGCCAUUAGGAGUAUCUACUAAGUGCCAACUUAAGGUGUUCAGAUGCUUCCUCUAUGUAGAGCAACUCUGAGUGGACACAUAUCCUGGGAAGGACAGGAAUGGGGCCCGUCCGGACAGACAGAGAAGCUGGCAGCACAGCAUCUGAUGGAGCCAGCUUCUGCUCACAGGUUGCCAAUUUCAGCUCCUGACUUAAAAUACAACGGCCCCCUGGAACACGAUGAAGCCUGGUCAACCAGCUUUCCAGUUACAGAGGCCACUAGCAGACGGAAUGAGUGGUUUUGGCUGGCGCAUCGGUACCUUGUACAAUACUGAACUCCUCAAGCGCUCCGAGGUUCAUUUGGUCAUUCGGUUUUCAUUGAGCAGCUACUAUGUGCCAGGAAAUGUGCUAAGCAGUGGGGUUCCCACAGAAUGAACCCACAGAAUUGGACAGAAAAAACGUCUCAACCAAUGCUGUGCAUUUGAAAAAGAUGCCAAAUCACUCCACAGGGAGAUUUAUAAUUCAGUCCACUACUGCUUUAUGUCUAGAAGCAAACAGAGUUUUACAUCAGCCUGGCGAAAUGUGCUGGAGCCUGAGGCAGAGACACAAACAAAACUGUUUUCCAAAAUACCAGGAUUGUUCAGCUAGUCACCAUCAGUGACUUUUCUGCAGAUGGUAGAACUCUAAAGCUGUCUUUUGAAGAUGGUGGAGACAAGAACUGGUGUGUUCUGGGCUGGCAUUGAUGCUUUGCUGAAAAGGCUGAUGAAGAAAGCUGCCACGAGUGGUUUGCUUUUCCAAGUGAGAUUAUAAAUUGCUUGAGAACCAAGACCAUGUCGUAUUUGGUGUGUGACUACGAGACAAUUCUAGGACAGCUUGUCCUGAUCUUUGUUCAGACCACCCCGACUCCCAGGUGACUGCACCACAGCUGCUUCCUUGCGGCUCCUGGAGUACGGCAGAUCAUGUCUGCAGACUCUCAUGAAGGCCACAGACCCCAACAGCCAGCUGUCAGUACGAAAGUGGUUUCUGGCAGUGAAGCCCAGCAGGUGGGAGCCUCCGAGGCUCCCAUCCUGUGCUCUGAGGCACAUGUGACUGAGACUUCAGUGUGAGCCCAACCAAUCCUUUCACCCCCUACUCCCAGGUGACACAUUGGGACCGUUCUGUAGAUCCCUCUUCCUGCUCCCUAGAUCCCUCUCCACCUUUUCUCUGACUCAUCUAACUCUAAGGUUCGCAUCAUGAGGGUGUUCUGGUCCUCUGGUGGCCAGUUGGGUUCAGCCAUGGGAGACCAAAGUUGGGAAGAGAAGUCAGAGCAUUUGCACACACACCCUACCUCGUCCACUGCCAUGCUCUCUCUCCUACUAGAUGAGAUUCUGGCAGAGGCUGAGUUCUUUCCUCAGUACAACUCUUACAGGGUGGAUCCUCUUGAAAGAAUUCUCUUCCAGGCCCCAGUCCUCACUGAUUCAGCAACACUAUUUCCUCCCCUUGUCUCUUCCAGCUGGGGUGGCAAUGGCCUGAGCAUCCCUCACGCUGCCCUUAGCCCGGCCCAUCCUCAGCAAAUAAUCAACUCAAUAAGCUUCCCUCAGAUGAAUCUUCUGAAUGUGCCAUGUUUUCUGCCCAUCUGCUCCCCAACCUUAAUGAUAAAGCCAGAAACUGUGAGCGCCUUGAGGGCAGGGCUCUCCCUGAUACAUUGUUUAUCCCCAAAGCUGAGCAGGAUGUCCCUCCCAUAAUUAGGUCAACCACAGACCUUUGUUAAGUGAACACUGAAUGAAAGAGGAAUGAAUGAAUUGCAUGAAUGAACGGUCUGGUAACCACAAUGAGGAAGAAGUCAGUAAUAAUCUUAUAGCACAACAGCAGGAACAUGAGCCCCCAUUCCUGGAGGUGAUGAGAAUCUCAACAGAAAGGAAAGUGAAAUAGCUCACAAAGAUGGCUGUGGCAUGUCACACGACCAAACCACGUGGCAGUGAGGGCGCCAGUCAGUUUGCGUCUGGAGAUCCUCAUUUAAGCCUCAGGAAUGGUAGCAUGGUUGCUGGAAACAUCCUCAAGCUUCCUGGUAGAUAGAGGCCAUACUGUGUUUCUCCAAAAUGCCGAGCUUGGAGUGAAAGGCAAUUGGAGAGGAGUGGUCCCCUUUGUGUAGGUAGAAGAGGAAAGGAGAAAGAAGGAGAGCAACCCACUGGCUAUGAGGUCAGAGAAGAGAAAGACAGCUGACGAGUCUGAAGUGCCCGGGGACCACUUCCCUCCCCAAUAGCUGCUGUGCAUAGCCUACUCAAAGAGAGGGUAGAUUUUAGGAAUGAAUGAGUCCCAUUCAUGACACAAAACUUUUCAUGCAUGUCCUCCAUUUUUCCUGUCCAGGAGCAGAGACGCUUUUCAAGCAAGGAUCCCCUUUGGGUAAUUCUUUUUGAAUUAUUGCCUGGAAAAAAACCUGCAUGUGUCCAGGCAAUUAAGGAACAAAUUCUGUCACCAGAGCAAGUGGAGUAGGGCCACUACUUGGCCUUCAUGCAGGAAAGAGAGUACCAGGCUCUUACUCUGCAGGAAGGGGAAUAAACUUCUGUGAUGAAUUGGGUCUCAUCCCCCCAACUGCCUCAUGUUUGCAGGCCCCGCAGGCACUCAUAAGGCAGUACUGCCCCUGUGUGCUGCUCCAUCCCCUUCACCAUACUCCUGGGCUGACAUCACUGUGUGAAGACAAUCCCAUGGGUAACAAAGAUAAUGAAUGUUGGUCACAGUGUAUUAGACUCUGUCAAAUGAUCUGUUUUGUCUUGAUGCUU